ensembl:lncRNA
AUGGGCCCUGUUCCACCCGCAGACUCCCCCAACCCUGUUACGUACAGACGGCGCGGCCUGGCUCUACACCCCCCCAUCUACAGUGCAGCUGAAGAUUCAGCUGAAGCUGCCCCGCUGCCCGGCAAAGAUCAUGGGACCAACAGCGAUAAUCGACAUUCCAGCUGCAAGGCCCGGACUCUUGCUCCAAAUUGGAAGGAGAAGCCCUCUGUUCCUAGAGAUGCUCCCAGAGACAGUCCUAGAGAUGAAGAUGAGGAGGACCCUUUUGCUCCCAGGGAAGGGGGAGGACCUCUAUUCCUAGAGAUGAAGAUGCUCCCAGAGAUGGGUGAAGAGAACCUUUUGUUUUUGAACAACUCAACCUUAAAAUGGUGCUCCAGUAGCUCAAGAUUGGACCCUCGAAAGCAGUUGUGGGAAAAGCCGUAAGUCGUGGGAGGGGACACUCACAUGCGAGCAGAGAACCAACCCGGGCGGCUGUCUCACUGUGAUACUGAAGCCAUGAGAGAAUUUCUUGUGGAGAUGUCUCCACAGCAUGAGCAAGAGAGACUCCUCUCCCUAAGUGAACUGAACAAGGUUAUUAUGGAAGUGGUAAACUGACUGAACAUCUCAAGGGUUGUCUUUUUACGUUGUCAGUGGGAGAAGGGAGAAAGGUGGGGGGAGGAGAAGAGUUCCAAAGGUGUGGUCUGAUUUUUUUUUCUUUCUUUUAGGUCUGUUAAUAAACUUCUUUAUAUUCUUUUAAGUUUUGUGCCUGCUUUGCUUUCUCCUAAUUCUUAUCUCACAGAAGGUAAACAGUAGUGAGUAUUUUGGACCAAACCACUACAAUGAGUUACCAGAUGAAGCAGGAGCAGCACAUCAAACACUCUCAGGCAGGCAGAAGAGGGUUCUCUCACUGCAAGCCUUCCCUGUCCAAUAAAUCGUGGCCUGCUUUUCCAGAGGUCUUCUGAACAACACAAACCCAUGUGGAAACCAGCCCAUUCAGGGCUCCGAGGUGAGCUGAUGUUGCAAAAUAUGGGAUAAGGGAUGUACUCCGUGAAAACCCAACCAUUUAAAAAUCCAGAGAAAGCCUCACACCAAGUUUAUCGCACACCACAAAGAACAAUGGAAGAUCACCGCCCUCCUUUGGAAUUGGACUUCAGUGGUCCUUGUGGGAUAUUCUGUGAUUCACCUCCAUCUGCCCAAGAGGUGGAAACCUGUAGAACACCAGGAAUCAGCCUUGAAACACUGAAUACUCAGAAAAGAGUUCACUGGGAAAUGGAGGUGCCAUUCACUGGGGUUGUUGUCUGCCAGGAGCAAGGCGGAGAAGGAAAACCCUGUGACCAGUGAAAAACCCUUUUGCCAACUCUCUUUACUGAGCACAUUUGUUAGCAAGACUUUGGAGAAUAAAUAGUUUAUGAAGAGGACUCAGGUUUUCAUCUGAUAAUGUCACACAAAUCUUCCCUGUCAGGGGCUCAGUCCCUGUGAAAUGUGGGACUUGGGAGAUGUGGAAUAGAGACACAACUGCUCAGUGGGGAAUCACGGAAUGGUUUGGGUUUGAAAAGACCUUAAAACCCAUCCAGUUCCACCCCCUGCCACGGGCAGGGACACCUUCUACUAUCCCAGGCUGCUCCAAGCCCUGUUCAACCUGGCCUUGGACACUCCAGGGAUCCAGGGGCAGCCACAGCUUCUCUGGGCACCCUGUGCCAGGGCCUCGCCACCCUCACAUCCCAGAGUUUCCCCCUCAGUAUCUCAUCUACAUCUCCCUUCUUUCAUUUUAAGGCCAUUCCCCCUUGUCCCAUCUCUCCAUGCCCUUGUAAAGUCCCUCUCCAGCCUUCUGUGGAGUCCCCUUUAGGUACUGGAAGUCUGUAAUUCCUAAUGUUCCAGGGAAACACUGGAUUUCAUCGGGCUUGAAGAGUGUAAUGACCCAACCUGAGAAAAGCCUGCUAAAAACAUAUCCAUGCAUUCCAUGAACUCUGCGAGGUCUCACAGACCUAAACCUCUCAUCUCCCAAGUGCUUUGUUCAAUUAACCUCAAAACUCACACUAAAAUAAAGCUGACUUUUGGCAGAAGACCUCGGGGGAAAACAUCAGGGCAGAGAAGUUGAGAUGCAUUUAAAAUGAAAUCUAAACUGCCCACCUGUGCAAAACAGAGCUGCUACCACAGCUGUAAAGUCAUUUAUCAACUUCUGGGAGCUUCCAGGAACAGGCAGCACCUUUCCCACAGCCUCUCCAGCCUCUCCCAGCUGUGCAG